UAUCCUUCUUUAAUGCCAAGUCCCGUAUAACAGGACCUGGCGAAGUCCCUACAUCACGGGUGAUGAACACUCUCAGUAGAGCCUUCCUUCACCAGUUGCUGUCGUUGGUAGUGAAAGGAAGUCUAGAGGCGUCGAUUUGACAAUGUAGGGCGUGUGUCAGACUGCUUGACUUCGUGGAAAGACGGCGAAAGUUGGGGUGAGUUGUCGCUGUGGCUACCGUAUCGCCUUCCUUUGUCAAUUUUGUCCACGGAAAGGCCCCGGCCAGCAACCCAAUGUUGAUCACCCUACGGUAGCAUAUACCUUUGUCGACUGUUUGAAGGAGUUCGAGCUCGACUCUUCUCUUCUAGUGCACAGAAUAGGAUGAGGAACAUGGCGCUUAGCGACCGGAAGUUUGUGGUUUUCAAGUCGUCGUUAUUGCCCGGUGAUUCAUCGUUUUCAAGGUAUCCUCCUGUCCAUCUCCAUUGCUUGUCGAGGAGUUGGUCUCACAGUACUCUUGAUUUGUUUGAGGCAUUUAAUGACUUGAAAGUGGUGUGGCUCGUUGUGCGUGUAGCGGCGGUUUUUUCUCCUUAUUUUUGAGAAUGAGCAGGGAAAUGAUGCCAUCUAUUACAGGAAAAAAAUGAUGCCAUCUAUUACAGCUUUACAGCAGCACAUAUGUAGAGCCCAGUAUGUAGUUCGUUUAGCAUAUGAGAGUCCCUCGCAUACAUCCAGUUUUGCUGACUGUCAUGACUGUGGAUGGCUUUUUAGUGAAAAUGAUGUAAUAUGUGUUGUCUGGGAUACUGCUCAUGGAGCCAAGACUGCUAGCAUGGUUGAGAUGAACUACCACUGUAGCUGUUGCACUGGUUGUGUUGGAAGUAGGGGAGGCUGCAAGAGCUGUUUUCAAAACUGCCAACCUUGCACCGUCCGUUGUAGAUGCAGAGGCAACUGUCAGAAUCCCCACAACAGAAAUGGUGUGUGUACUUGCUGUAGGGCUAGAGUACAUGAUAGAAUUAGUGUACUGGUGUGGGCUAAUGAGACACUUAUUACACGUCCAAGUUAUUCAAACCAGGACCCACAGUUGCUGGAUGUUGUUGAUGCUGAUGACAAGUUGAGUAGUGAGACUGGCACAGACUGUGAGGAUGAGGAGGUGAAAAUUGAGGGAGAUUUCACUGGGCAGCCAAAUAGAUUACCCAAGGUGUUCCCAUCCUACAGUCAUUUAGCACACAGUGUGAGUGACCUUUAUCAUGAAGGAAGCUCCACUGAAGAAGACUAGAUGUUGAUGGUGAGAAACUGUCAUCCUGUCUGUGUACAAAAAUUUACAUUACUUGGGGGGUCAGUCAAGGUUAGGUAACUUGUAGGUACGUAAUGUAAGAUAUUGUGUGUAAUCAACUAAAAUUAAUCAAACAUAAUUAUGCCUCGGUGCUCAUGUGCAGUGGAGGUGCACAGUAGUCUGCUGGAGGGGGUGCACGAUGGAUUUAACAACAAAAUGACUCACACGUGUAAGAAGUGAUGUUUUCUUGAAUUUUGAUUCAUGAAUUCAAAAGAUAAAGCUUUAUUUUUUAGUUAUGGGUGAUUUCUCAUUGCACAUGUGCAGUAAACGUAUACUGUAAUCUGCCCCAUGUGUUUGCCCUACUGAACUUUGAAUGCCCAGUUGAUUUCGCACCGAGGCAUCAGCACCCCUGGUGCUAUUACUAUUAGCACCUGGUGCUAUUACUAUUAGCACCUGGUGCUAUUACUAUUAGCACAGGUAAUAGGUCUUGUGGACUGUUCAAAGACUAGACAGAUUUGGGCGGGUCAAUGAAGUCCCGGAUGUUGCAUGGCAACACAUCAGGUUGUGUGUGUUGACCUGACCGUCUCUUGUGUUUAUAUACUGUUUGACGUUGACACUGCUGGCAGCAGAUCCUUCCUGAAUUGACUCAUGGUCACAGCACACAAUUGAAGCUGCACAAAGGGCAAUCACUGUGAAGAUUCCUAGGUCGACAGCAGAAUCAGUAGGACAUGCUUUACUCUGCGUAGAUCACUACGGGAGACUACCUGCUGGGGUGUGGUGCCUCCAAAGAAUAGAAACUUGUCCAUAACUUUCUUACGCAGGGCUGUGGAAGAAAAUAGAAAAUACUGGACUGUCGGCAAGGCACUGCCACUGUUAACAUACAAUUGUCGCUGUCUUCUACAAUUGAGAAUAUACAGACCUGUUGUCUUGUCUGCUGAAUACAAGAUUAUGUAGUGGUUCUCCCUAGCUCCUAAGGUUAUUCUUGCAGCUGUUUGUGGCCUCUUAUGGGUCUGCACAUUACUCCUUAUGGCUCUAAGGUACAAUUUGCUUCUUAGUGAGACUUUAAUUAAACAAA